AGGUGUGUUUUUGGCGUAACAUGCAUUAAACCAAUCAGAGAGUGUCAUCUCCCAUUCUCCUUAAAAGCCACGCGCGUUUGGACCCGUAGAGCACUGCUGUUA